CGACCGCUGGCGGCGUGCUUAACACAUGCACGUCGAACGGAAAGGCCCUGCUUGCAGGGUACUCGAGUGGCGAACGGGUGAGUAACACGUGGGUGAUCUGCCCUGCACUUCGGGAUAAGCCUGGGAAACUGGGUCUAAUACCGGAUAGGAGCCAUUUUUAGUGUGAUGGUUGGAAAGUUUUUUCGGUGUAGGAUGAGCUCGCGGCCUAUCAGCUUGUUGGUGGGGUAAUGGCCUACCAAGGCGGCGACGGGUAGCCGGCCUGAGAGGGUGGACGGCCACAUUGGGACUGAGAUACGGCCCAGACUCCUACGGGAGGCAGCGGUGGGGAAUAUUGCACAAUGGGCGCAAGCCUGAUGCAGCGACGCCGCGUGGGGGAUGACGGCCUUCGGGUUGUAAACUCCUUUCGCUAGGGACGAAGCUUUUUGUGACGGUACCUAGAUAAGAAGCACCGGCUAACUACGUG
rnacentral:rRNA from 1 species